AUGUCUCGACCUGAUGGCAAGUUCUACCUUGGAGAUGCUGCAUAUGCAUGUCGGCCUCGUGUUUUUCUACCCUUCAGGAAAACCAGGUAACAUCUGAACGAGUUCUCUGGCAUGAACUAUCCUAGGGCUGCACAGGAAUUGUUUAAUCUGAGACACUCUAGCCCUAGAGUUAUGGUUUAGAGGGCAUUUGGAGCUCUGAAGAAUAGAUUUAAGAUCCCGGACUAGAAGCCGUUCCACACUUUUUCCACCCAGGUUAAGCUUUUUCUUGCAUGUUGCAUCCUUCAUAACUAGAUCCUACAAUGGGGAUAUGAUGAGCUUGUGCCGGGGGAGGAUGUGACGGCUGAUGAUGUUGAUAACUCUGACCAUGGUGUGGAGGCUUUUGACAAUGAAGUCUAGAAGAACAAAAGGAUGGAGUAG
rnacentral:rRNA from 1 species